rnacentral:rRNA from 1 species
UACGGAAGGGGCAAGCGUUGUUCGGAAUCAUUGGGCGUAAAGAGCGCGUAGGCGGUCCGGUAAGUCCGCUGUGAAAGUCAAGGGCUCAACCCUUGAAUGCCGGUGGAUACUGUCGGGUUAGAGUCCGGAAGAGGCGAGUGGAAUUCCUGGUGUAGCGGUGAAAUGCGCAGAUAUCAGGAGGAACACCGAUGGCGAAGGCGGCUCUCUGGGACGGUACUGACGCUGAGACGCGAAAGCGUGGGGAGCGAACAGG